rnacentral:rRNA from 1 species
AAAUUGAAGAGUUUGAUCAUGGCUCAGAUUGAACGCUGGCGGCAGGCCUAACACAUGCAAGUCGAACGGUAACAGGAAGCAGCUUGCUGCUUCGCUGACGAGUGGCGGACGGGUGAGUAAUGUCUGGGAAACUGCCUGAUGGAGGGGGAUAACUACUGGAAACGGUGGCUAAUACCGCAUAACGUCGCAAGACCAAAGAGGGGGACCUUCGGGCCUCUUGCCAUCAGAUGUGCCCAGAUGGGAUUAGCUGGUUGGUGAGGUAACGGCUCACCAAGGCGACGAUCCCUAGCUGGUCUGAGAGGAUGACCAGCCACACUGGAACUGAGACACGGUCCAGACUCCUACGGGAGGCAGCAGUGGGGAAUAUUGCACAAUGGGCGCAAGCCUGAUGCAGCCAUGCCGCGUGUAUGAAG